rnacentral:rRNA from 1 species
CCCCUUAACUUUCUUAAACCCUUUUAUUAAUACUGAAUGACUUCAUAAUUAUAUGAAGAACCUUAUGUUAGAACUAGUAACAAGAAGAAGCCCUUCUCCUAAAUGUAAGCAUGAGCCAAAACGAACAAAUCAUUGGCAUUUAAAAUUUGUAAGCCCUUAGUAGUAACCCACCAAGAAAAGCCUACUAAACAUCAUGUCAACCUUACACUAGCACAUUUAUGGAAAGAUUAAAAGAAUGGGAAGGAACUCGGCAAAUAACUAACCCCGCCUGUUUACCAAAAACAUCGCCUCCUGAAUCUCAUAGGAGGUCUAGCCUGCCCAGUGAUAAAAUUAAACGGCCGCGGUACCCUAACCGUGCAAAGGUAGCGCAAUCACUUGUUCUUUAAAUGAGGACUAGUAUGAACGGCAUCACGAGGGUUACACUGUCUCCCCACUCUAUUCAGUGAAACUGAUUUUCCCGUGAAGAAGCGGGAAUAAAAAUAUAAGACGAGAAGACCCCAUGGAGCUUAAAACUCAGUAUCACUUGCCACUUUUAAAGCCUUUAAACCACGCAACCCUGAUUACUAGUUUUCGGUUGGGGUGACCGCGGAGAAAAACAAAACCUCCACGACGAAAGGACCUAACAACCUAAUCCAAGAGCUACACCUCCAAGAAUCAACACAUUGACUAAAUUGAUCCAUUUUUUGACCAACGAACCAAGUUACCCUGGGGAUAACAGCGCAAUCCAUUUCAAGAGCCCCUAUCGACAAAUGGGUUUACGACCUCGAUGUUGGAUCAGGGUAUCCAAGUGGCGCAGCCGCUACUAA